GCCUGCUUGAAGUUUGUUUUUGCUCUGCAGGAUUAAACAGUUCUCUGUAUCCUGCUUUGAGCGCUGCUGUUGGGUGCUGUGAGGGGACCUCAAGUAAGCUCCAUUUUUGAAACAUGGUAUGUCUGCUCUUUUUUAAAGGAAGUAUAUGUAUCUGUUUUCUUCAGAUAUAUUUAUUUAUCUUUUUAAAAGGAUGCAGUGACUUAUGAUGAUGUGCGUGUGAACUUCACUGAGGAAGAGUGGGAUUUGCUGGAUCCUUCCCAGAAAAGUCUUUAUGAAGAGGUGAUGCUGGAGACCUACCAGAACAUCACUGCUAUAGGCUACAAGUGGGAAGACCAUCAUAUUGAAGAAUAUUGUCAAAGUUCUAGAAGACAUGAAAGGCAUGAAAGAAUUCAUAUUGGAGAGAAACCGUAUGAACGUAACCAAUGUGGUAAAGCCUUUGCAAGUGACAAUCAUCUCCAAAUACAUAAAAGAACAAAUACUGGAGAGAAACCUUAUGAAUGUAAUCAAUGUGGUAAAGCCUUUUCACAAGGGAGUACUCUCCAAUAUCAUAUUAGAAGACAUAAUGGAGAGAAACCCUAUAAAUGUAAUCAGUGUGGUAAAGCCUAUGGACAUCACAGUAGUCUGCAAUAUCAUAAAAGAACACAUACUGGAGAGAAACCUUAUCAAUGUAAUCAAUGUGAUAAAGCAUUUUCACAACACAGUAGUCUUGAAUAUCAUAAAAUAACACAUACUGGAGAGAAACCUUAUGAGUGUGAUCAAUGUGGUAAAGCCUUUGCAUGGCAGUCUAGUCUCAAUAUACAUAAAAGAACACAUUCUGGAGAAAAACCUCAUGAGUGUAAUCAAUGUGGUAAAGCCUUUGUACAUCACAAUAGUCUCCAAUGUCAUAAAAGAACGCAUACUGGAGAGAAACCUUAUCAGUGUGAUCAGUGUGGUAAAGCAUUUACACAUCAAAAUAAUCUACAGUGUCAUAAAAGAACACAUACUGGAGAGAAACCUUAUGAAUGCAAUCAAUGUGGUAAAGCAUUUGCAAGACACAGUCAUCUCCAAGUACAUGAAAGAACACAUUUUAGAAAAACACCUUAGAAUGCAAUCACUGUUGUAAAGACUUUGGAUGUAAGACUAAUCUCCAAAGACAUAAAAGAACAUAUACUGGACAGAAACCUUAUGAAUGUAAUCAAUGUGGUAAAGCCUUUGCAACUCACAGUCAUCUACAAUGACAUAAAAGAACACAGAGGAGAGAAACCUGGUUAUUGUUUACAUAUGGACAUAAGGAGAUACAAGUAUGUAUCAAAUUGACAAGGGAUGGAUUGUGAUUGCUGCUCUUGGUUUUCAAUAUAAGAUCUAAAGUGGAAAGCAUAGGUCCAGGCAUGGUGGUACAUGCCCUUGAACCCUAGGAGAUGAGCAUCAAGCAGAUCUCUGAGUUCAAGUCCAUCCUGAUACAGAGCAAGUUAAAGGUGAAGAAAUUCUUAGGUCUAGGCCUGUGGAUACAGAGCCUUGCAGAUUUCUGAGUUCAAGGUCAAUAUAUAGAGCAAGUUCAAGGACAGCCAAGCUGAGGAAGUAAAGGAGUUGGAGAACAGAAAACUGGUGAUAAUGUAAUAGAAGAGGCCAUUUCCCAGGCCCAGAAAGCAGCAGAACUCAGCAGCUUUGACCAUGUGGCUCUGACUUUAGAGGUAAGAAUAGAAGGGACUACUGGGAAAAUUGAAGCUUGUAAGCUGUGGCUGAGAAAUUAGAAGUGAUGAAGAAGAGACCAGCAUCAUUGAGGUGAAAUCUUCUAGGAACUGUUUUCUGAGAGGACAAAGAAACUGUGUUCCAGAGAGAGCCAGGAUUGUACCUUGUGUUGCAGCUGAACUUUGUAGUCUCCCCUCCCCCAGCCUGAAACCUGCUUGCUCAGGGGUGGAGCUUCCUGCUCAUUCGUUCUGCCACGCCCACUGCUGGAACCUGCAGAGCAACAUGUGUGCUCACCUUUCUACUGGACCAGAGAUUAUUCGGCGGGAAUCGGGUCUCCUCCCCCUUCCUUCAUAACUAGUGUUGCAACAAUAAAAUUUGAGCUUUGAUCA
rnacentral:lncRNA from 1 species